AGCAGUGGGGAAUUUUGGACAAUGGGCGCAAGCCUGAUCCAGCAAUGCCGCGUGAGUGAAGAAGGCCUUCGGGUUGUAAAGCUCUUUUGUCAGGGAAGAAACGGUGAAGGCUAAUAUCCUUUGCUAAUGACGGUACCUGAAGAAUAAGCACCGGCUAACUACGUGCCAGCAGCCGCGGUAAUACGUAGGGUGCAAGCGUUAAUCGGAAUUACUGGGCGUAAAGCGUGCGCAGGCGGUUUUGUAAGUUUGUCGUGAAAGCCCCGGGCUCAACCUGGGAAUUGCGAUGAAGACUGCAAGGCUUGAAUCUGGCAGAGGGGGGUAGAAUUCCACGUGUAGCAGUGAAAUGCGUAGAGAUGUGGAGGAACCCCGAUGGCGAAGGCAGCCCCCUGGGUCAAGAUUGACGCUCAUG
rnacentral:rRNA from 1 species